rnacentral:rRNA from 1 species
GCCAUGCAUGUCUAAGUACAGACCGCUACGAACGGUGACACCGCGAAUGGCUCAUUAGAUCGAUCAUUGUUCCUUAGAUCGUACGUGAUAACCACGAAUUGGAUAACUGUGGUAAUUCUAGAGCUAAUACAUGCGACGAAGCUCUGCCGGCCUUUAAGGUGGUGCUCUCGGGUGCCGCCUGGGGUCGAUUGAAGAGCGCUUUUAUUAGACUACGAGAGACCGGACCCGGGCGACCGGGUUUCCGCGUGUGGUGACUCUGAAUAACUUUGCCGAUCGCAGUCCCCUUUCGAGGUGGACGGCGACGUAUCUUUCAAGUGUUCGGCCUAUCAAGUUUCGACGGUAGCCGCCUUGGCUACCGUGCUGUUGACGGGUACCGGGGAAUCGGGGUUCGAUUCCGGAGAGGGAGCAUGAGAAACGGCUACCACGUCCAAGGAAGGCAGCAGGCGCGCAAAUUACCCACUCCCGGCACGGGGAGGUAGUGACGAAAAAUACCGAUGCGGGGGCUCUUGACGAGCCGCCGUAAUCUGGACUGAGUACACUUUAAAUCCUUGGUUUAACGAGGAUCUACUGGAGGGCAAGUCUGGUGCCAGCAGCCGCGGUAAUUCCAGCUCCAGUAGCGUAUACUAAAGUUGUUGCAGUUAAAAAGCUCGUAGUUGGAUGUUGGAUCGGUGGGGUCGGGUCUCGCCGAUGGUGAGCUACUCGACUUCGAACGGUGUCCGAAAUGCGCGGGAAGGGGUCGGCUAUCGGCUGAUCUGUCCCGAGUACGAUUUACUUUGAAAAAAUUAGAGUGUUCAAAGCAAGCGCACUGCCGCUUGAAUAUUGAAAGCAUGGAAUAAUGGAACAGGACCUCUGGUCUCACCGUCUCUCCGGGGCAUUCAGGUUGGUCGAUCGCUCCUCACGGGGUGUGACUCUUAGCCGGUUUGCUUUGGUGACUGGAGGUAAUGAUUAAAAGGGACGGACGGGGGCAUUUGUAUUGCGACGUGAGAGGUGAAAUUCUUGGACCGUCGCAAGACAGACUGGUGCGAAAGCGUUUGCCAAGGACGUUUUCAUUAAUCAAGAGCGAAAGUCAGAGGAUCGAAGACGAUCAGAUACCGUCGUAGUUCUGACCGUAAACGAUGUCGACCGGGGAUCGGCGGCGCGUCGUUGUUUGAAUACGAGUGACCUCGCCGGCACCCCUUUCCCUCCGGGAAACCUUUGAGUUUUUGGAUUCCGGGGGGAGUAUGGUUGCAAAGCUGAAACUUAAAGGAAUUGACGGAAGGGCACCACCAGGAGUGGAGCCUGCGGCUUAAUUUGACUCAACACGCGAAAACUCACCUAGCCAAGACACUGUGAGGAUUGACAGAUUGAGAGCUCUUUCUCGAUUCGGUGGAUGGUGGUGCAUGGCCGUUCUUAGUUGGUGGAGUGAUUUGUCUGGUUGAUUCCGAUAACGAACGAGACUCUGGCCUACUAACUAGUAGGGUGCGUUGCUAGACUCUUCCCCUCUCUUCGGAGUGGUGGGAGGUCGUUUGCCGGCAGCCUCUCUGCUUCCGCGCCUUUCGGGGUGGCGGGGUAGUGUGGGUUUCGUCGGCGCGCGCUCGAGCUUGAAGCGAACUUCUUAGAGGGACAAGCGGCUUCGAAGUCGCGCGAGAUAGAGCAAUAACAGGUCUGUGAUGCCCUUAGAUGUCUAGGGCAGCACGCGCGCUACACUGAAGGUGUGAGGUGGGUGUAUAUCGUCCCGCUCCGAGAGGAGCGGGUAAACCGCUGAACUACCUUCGUGGCUUGGGAUCGGGGCUUGUAACUAUUGCCCGUGAACGAGGAAUUCCCAGUAAGCGCGAGUCAUCAGCUCGCGUUGAUUACGUCCCUGCCCUUUGUACACACCGCCCGUCGCUACUACCGAUCGGAUGAUUUAGCGAGGCCUUCGGAUCGGUCGCUCUCACCCUCUUGUAGGGAGGAAGCAGACCGAGAAGACGGUCGAACUUGACCAUCUAGAGGAAGUAAA